rnacentral:rRNA from 1 species
GACGAACGCUGGCGGCGUGCUUAACACAUGCAAGUCGAACGGAAAGGCUCCAGCUUGCUGGAGUACUCGAGUGGCGAACGGGUGAGUAACACGUGGGUAAUCUGCCCUGCACUCUGGCAUAAGCCUGGGAAACUGGGUCUAAUACUGGAUAUGACCUUUCUCCUUAUGGGGUUUGGUGGAAAGUUUUUCGGUGUAGGAUGAGCCCGCGGCCUAUCAGCUUGUUGGUGGGGUGAUGGCCUACCAAGGCGACGACGGGUAGCCGGCCUGAGAGGGUGAUCGGCCACAUUGGGACUGAGAUACGGCCCAGACUCCUACGGGAGGCAGCAGUGGGGAAUAUUGCACAAUGGGCGGAAGCCUGAUGCAGCGACGCCGCGUGAGGGAUGACGGCCUUCGGGUUGUAAACCUCUUUCAGCAGGGACGAAGCGUAAGUGACGGUACCUGCAGAAGAAGCACCGGCUAACUAUGUG